CACCCUUUCUCAAGUAUAAAAUGAUAAGUCUCGAAUUCAACAUAAGCCGAUUUUUUUUGUCAGAGCUUAACAAGAGUCUAAUGCAACACCAUUUAGCAAUGUUUAAAUAUCAAAAUUCUUCCAACAAUGUAAACUGAAUCAGACAUACCACUGAAGACACUGGAAGCCUUCUUACAUUGACAGAUUGACUACCGAUGUUUA
rnacentral:lncRNA from 1 species